GAUGAACGCUGGCGGCGUGCCUAACACAUGCAAGUCGAGCGAUCUUCUUCGGAAGAGAGCGGCGGACGGGUGAGUAACGCGUGGGUAACCUGCCUCAUACACAUGGAUAACAUACCGAAAGGUAUGCUAAUACAAGAUGAUAUAAGAGAUUCGCAUGGAUUUCUUAUCAAAGCUCCGGCGGUAUGAGAUGGACCCGCGUCUGAUUAGCUAGUUGGUAAGGUAACGGCUUACCAAGGCGACGAUCAGUAGCCGACCUGAGAGGGUGAUCGGCCACAUUGGAACUGAGACACGGUCCAAACUCCUACGGGAGGCAGCAGUGGGGAAUAUUGCACAAUGGGCGAAAGCCUGAUGCAGCAACGCCGCGUGAGCGAUGAAGGCCUUCGGGUCGUAAAGCUCUGUCCUCAAGGAAGAUAAUGACGGUACUUGAGGAGGAAGCCCCGGCUAACUACGUGCCAGCCGCCGCGGUAACAC
rnacentral:rRNA from 1 species